GACGAACGCUGGCGGCGUGCUUAACACAUGCAAGUCGAGCGGAAAGGCCACUUCGGUGGUACUCGAGCGGCGAACGGGUGAGUAACACGUGAGUAAUCUGCCCUUGGCUUUGGGAUAGCCACCGGAAACGGUGAUUAAUACCGGAUACGACCACUUCUCGCAUGGGAUGGUGGUGGAAAGUUUUUCGGCCAGGGAUGUGCUCGCGGCCUAUCAGCAUGAUGGUGAGGUAAUGGCUCACCAUGGCUUCGACGGGUAGCCGGCCUGAGAGGGUGACCGGUCACACUGGGACUGAGACACGGCCCAGACUCCUACGGGAGGCAGCAGUGGGGAAUAUUGGACAAUGGGCGGAAGCCUGAUCCAGCAACGCCGCGUGAGGGAUGACGGCCUUCGGGUUGUAAACCUCUUUCGGUGGGGACGAAGCGCAAGUGACGGUACCCACUAAAGAAGCACCGGCCAACUACGUGCCAGCCGCCGCGGUAAGAC
rnacentral:rRNA from 1 species